GUACACUCCUGCGGGAGGCAGCAGUGGGGAAUUUUGGACAAUGGGCGAAAGCCUGAUCCAGCAAUGCCGCGUGUGUGAAGAAGGCCUUCGGGUUGUAAAGCACUUUUGUCCGGAAAGAAAUCCUUGGCUCUAAUACAGUCGGGGGAUGACGGUACCGGAAGAAUAAGCACCGGCUAACUACGUGCCAGCAGCCGCGGUAAUACGUAGGGUGCGAGCGUUAAUCGGAAUUACUGGGCGUAAAGCGUGCGCAGGCGGUUUGCUAAGACCGAUGUGAAAUCCCCGGGCUCAACCUGGGAACUGCAUUGGUGACUGGCAGGCUAGAGUAUGGCAGAGGGGGGUAGAAUUCCACGUGUAGCAGUGAAAUGCGUAGAGAUGUGGAGGAAUACCGAUGGCGAAGGCAGCCCCCUGGGCCAAUACUGACGCUCAUGCACGAAAGCGUGGGGAGCAAACAGGAUUAGAAACCCCUGUAGUCC
rnacentral:rRNA from 1 species